rnacentral:lncRNA from 1 species
GGCGCUUUGGCCUUGGAUGGAAAGUGGGAAAGGGCUCCGGACCUCCUAACGUGGAUUACUUGGUGUGUGUCAGCCGGGCUCCGAAGACCCACGACCUCGUCUCCAUCCUUGGAUUGAUUCAUUCCACCUGGCAGUCGGGGCGCUUACCGGGAGGGGAAAUCAGAGGUUUGAGGCUGACCUGGGGAGCUGCUCCAGAACCAAGAAAGAAGGACAAGAAAGAAGGCCUGGAAAGGAGGAGCAGCUAAGGGCUCCUCUUCCUCGCCAUACUUCCCACCGGGAACCUGGGGGGAGCCGACGUAUGCCAUCAGGACCUUGCAAAGGACCCACCUAA